rnacentral:lncRNA from 1 species
CCUGGCAACAGGAAGAUGAACCGGGCAUAAUCUGUCAUAAGGUUCCUGCCUACACAUGAAGUGGUACAAAGCUACUUAAAAAGGGUUAUAGACUACUUAGAAAUAUAUAGUGUUAACCCUAAGGUGACCACUAAAAUAUUUAAAAGUAUAAAUGAGACGCUACAAGAGGAAAUAAAAUGGAAUCAAAUAAAAUGCUCAGUUACAUCUAGAGAAGGGGGAGUUCCUGCCAUGCUCAGCAGAAAUAAAACUGGUGAGGACGAGGGUUUGAUCCCUGGUGUUGCUGUGAGCUAUGGUGUAGGUCACAGACAAGGCUCAGAUCUGGUGUUGUUGUUGCUAUAGUGUAGGCUGGUGACUACGGCUCUGAUUCAACCCCUUGGCUGGAAACUUCCAUAUGCCAUGGGUGCGGCCCUAAAAAGACAAAACAUAAAAAUAAAAAUAAAAACUAGAGAAGGGAAUACUUCACUUCCAGGAAGAUGGAUGGGGUGGGUGUACUUCUCCCUGUGCCUCUAAGUCCAACCAAAUCUCCUGGAUAGUCUAUGUAAACAAACAAGGAAACUCUGAAAGGUGAGAAGAGGAAGGCAGCUGGGGUGGGGACUUGGGACCCAAAGAAUUACAAAGCAGUGAGUUCUUUGGGUUUUCUUUACACUUCACAUAACCAACUGGGCACUAAAAAAGGUAGCACUUUAUGAGUGUAGCCAAAACAAGACCUCUCCCAAAGCCAAAGGAAUGGGGCAGUCUUGCAAGAUAGAACUUUCAGACAAUAACCACUCUGCCCCAGGCAACCACCACCACCACACACGCACGUGCACACACACACACACACACACAUGACUCUGGCCCAACUCCAAUACACCCCAGCGAAGGCUGAGUAGGGAACCUGUUCUUCCACUUCUCCUGUCCAUAAUGAGGCUGUGACCCACACCAUCCCCCCUCCUCGUACCCCUGCCAGAAUGAGUCAGAGAAAACCAGUUAACAUAAUAAGUUUAAAGAAUAUCUAGAAUUCAUAACAUAAUAGCCAAGAUGUUCUGGUUUCUAUUACACAAUCACUCAUCAUACAGAGAAUCAGAAAGAUCUCAAACUGAAUAAUAAUAGAUCACACCAAGAUGACAGAGAUUAGAAUUAUCUGAUCAAGAUUCUAAAGCAGCCAUCUGUAAAAUGCUUCAUGGAGUAAAAAUAAACAUGUGUGAAACAAAUUCAAAGAAAUAGAAAGUCUCAAAAAAGAAAUAGAAGAUAUAAAGGACACCCAAUUGGAAAUGUUAAAAUUCUAUUCUUGGAAUAAGUCCUACUUGAUCAUAGUAUAUAAUCUGGUCUAUGUGUUGUUGGAUUUGGGUUGCAAGUAUUUUGUUGAGAAUUUUCAUGCUUAUAUUCAUAAAAGAUAUUGGUCUGUUUUUUUCUUUUCUUGUGACGUUUUUGAUUUUAGUAUCAUAUAAAAUAGGUUUAUAGGAUGGCAGGAAAUUAUCCAUUAUAUAGUUUUUCUUUUUAUGUGUAUGAAGAUUUUGUGAAAGAUGGAUGUUAAUUCUUUAAAUUAUUGAUAGACCUGACCAGUGAGCUCAUCUCGCCCUGGAAUUUUCUUUGUGAGAAAAUUUUAGAUUAAUAAUUCAAUUCCUUUACUUACUUAUUAUAGAUCUGUUCAGAUUUUUUACUUCUUCUUGAUAGUUUGAAACAGUUUCAAUAGUUUGAAAAAUGUGUAUAGAUUAUUUAGAAAUAUAUAUAUUGGAAUUUGGUCAUGUCAUCAGGUCAAAUGGUUUCCUUAAACACACACCUUACCUUCUGUAAGGUCUAUAGUAAUGUCUCCCAUUUUAGUAUUGAUUUUAGUAUUUUGAGUCUUCUCCCCCCCUCUUUUUUUUCUUGGUCGAUCUAGCUAAACUGGAUUUUUUAAGAUGUCCUUCAUUAGAUUGAGAAAGUCUCCUUCUAUUCCUAAAUGUUUGAGUUGCUUUGUAUUUCUUUUUCAUCAUGGAUGGAUGUUGAAUUUUGUUAAAUGUUUUCUCUGCUUUUGUUGGAACAGUUUUCUCCUCAUCUACCACAGUCAGGAGAUGAUGGUGCAAAUACUACUGAAAAAUAUUCAGUGCUCUUCAGUAUAACUCAAAUAUAUGAAGGGAUUGUUCUGUCCAUUAUAAAUAUCAUAGUGGCAUUUUACCUUUUAACUUGUGUGCAUGUGCUCUUUUAAAUUUUGUAUUAAAAGAGAGGUGCAAAAUAGAUGCAUGCCACUUUUUUUCUAGGGAAAUAUCUAUUAUGAAUAUUAAUGAUAUCUAAAUAUAUCCAUAAAUUUAGAGAAAUGUAAUAAAAUCCAAUGUGAAUUUGGCAUGUGAGCUUGAGGAGAACAAACACUGGAGGAGAGCUCAGAAGAUUCUGGAGAGGAAGGAAAGGAAUCAGACUUAUUCCAUCAGAUGCUGAAAUGUAAAAUUACAGUGUAAAAUACAGAACUGACCCUGGAAGAGGUCAGAGAGAAGAGAUAGGCAGAUCAGUGGAAUAUAAGAAGAGCCAAGAAAUAAACAAGUAUGUGAGAAUGCCAGUUAUGAUAAAAGCGUCAUUUCAGAAUCAGUAGGGAAAAUGGAUUUUUAGAUAAACAUUUUGGUAAAUUUUUAAAAAAUAAUAAUAAAGCUCACUUUUUGGACCAUUCUUAAUAUUAAAAUAAGUUCCAGAUGGAUAAAAUAUUUAAAAGCGAAUAUAAAAUCAUGAAAGAAUGAAGAGUUAUUCAGAGUGAAAUCAUUCAUAAUGUUGAGAUCAAAUGAUUUCAAAACCAAAAAUUAUGAAGAAAAAGAAAAUGGUUCAAAUACAUAAAUUUUUUUUGCAAACAAAGAACAGUUAAAAGGGAAUCCACUUUAACACGUCUAAUCACCAAAGUAUUUAAGAACAAAUCUUUUCAACAUAUAAUAGAAAAUGGUUAAUUUCCUUAAUGUACAGAGUUUUUUUCAAACAGUAAGAACAAGAUGAGCACACCAAUUAAAAAAAAAGAGAGGAAGUCACGAGCAAACACUUAAAUGAAGAACAAACACUUGAAACGUUUUAGCCUCAGGCCUUAUCAAAGAACCACAAAUAAAAAUAUAUAUUAAUAAAAUAUGUGAAAACCAGGAUCAGUUUAAUAAGAAUUUGCAAGAUUGACAAAAGACCUUUUCCUUGAAAUAUUUCUCCUUAAUUUCUACUGGAUAAAUUCUAAAUUAUAGGUAACUGUGAAUCUUUCCUUUGUGUUUUCUUCUUUUGCUUUUGUAAAUCAAGUCCUUCUUUAUUCUGAAAUUAACAUUUGCUUGUAAUUCUUAUUGUUUCUUGAGAUAAUUUUUUUACAGAUAGCUCUUUAAUACAUUUAGAGUCUACUGUAGAUAUAAGGCACAAGCCUAAAAAAACUCAUUUCCAAAUGGUUUAUCAGUUGCCCAGUACUAUAUACCGUGCAAUCCUUCCCCCCCAAGUUGAUAAUGAAGCCGACUUUAUCACGCACUUUGGACAAGUCUUAGUGUGCUAGACUGUCUCCACCUAUACUUCAAUCUACAUCUGUUUUUGUCCAUGGAUUAAGAAGGUAAAGACCAGAGAAGGUAUGUGCUUUGCCCCAUGUCACACAGCUGAUGCAGGGUAGAGCUUGAGUGGGGCCCUCAUUCAUCCCCCGACCCCCAGCACAAUGUUCUUCUCCCUAUGCUACACUUCCUCUCAACCAGACUUUGAUGAAUCAACCCUUCCCCACCUGAACACCCCAAACUCCACUCGGAAGAAGUGACCCAUCCUGAGAGCAAUGGCCAGCCCUCCACCAUGCCUAGGGAAGAGUGUGACUUUAUUCUAAUUCCUGGUCCCUGUCUUGGGAAGUUGGGUCCCACAAGAGAAAGUCCACCUGGCUGGAGAAUCCAAGCACUGCUUCCUUCUCUCCCCAUGGGGGCCAGUGCCUAGGUCUUGAGCAGGAACAUGGGUAUUGAGCUCAGCCUGCCCGAGUUGGAAUCUGGCUCUGACCCUUCCUGUGGGAGUGGCCCUCUGUGCCUUGAUUCCUCUUGCAAAUGAAAACGAGAGUUCCUAACUCAGAGGGACUUUGUAAGGAUGAACAGGGCCCGUGAAUGUUAGCUAUAGAGAUAAUGUCCCUGUCUGUAUUCAGUUGGAGGAUCCGUGUCUACUCAAAUUUAUAUUGGUUCUUUUCACAGUUCCAGAUCUUCUUCUCUUCAGUUUUGAAAAGGGCGUCUUAGGGAGCUUGCUGUCAUGUUCUAACAAAACAAGCUCACUGAAAGCCAAGCUUUCCCUGCACACGUGUAGCAGGAUCACAGUGAGUGUGGCCAGUGGAGUUAUGGGUGCAGAUGGACUCCUGACUCCAGGGAAACAACACAGCCACAGAUGGGGCACUUCCUGUUUCCAAUGUGCUUGGGGAAAUGACCAUUUGGCUCAUGAAGAAAAUAUUUUUUUUAAUCUUAGUGGGUAGUGAAAAACAAUAAACAUCAGAGGCAGAAUAUGACUAUCACAGCAUUUUUGUCUCAUGAAAAAUUGAUUGGCUCCCCAGAUAUUGAUUAAACCUUCUACGGGCAGUGAUUCUCUAGACAAUAGAAAUCCUGGCAUAAAACGAGCAUGCAGGCAAAGUUCAUUUAUGGUCAGGGAGGUUUCACCAAAACAAGAUCCCGAUAUUGUGCUUCUCAAAACUGAAAUGCCUGAAACCCCUUCGGGGACAUUUAAAAAUUUUUUUUCUUUUUUUUUCCUUUUGAUCUGAGAACAAAUUGCUCAUGGAGCUACCAUUUCCUGUUGUUUCCUUGGUUUUCCUACCACUGAACAUGAGAGACAGUAUGAAGUUAGUUCAAGGUUCAUUUUACAAUCCCCUGCCCAGGUGUGUAUGGUCCAGAUGUGUGGAAUCUGCUUUCAACUUAUCAAUCAGAAAGUAAACCACCCACAAGGUGGAUCUCAUGUUUGAAUACCAGCUGAUGCCACCAACACACACCCAAAAAAUGCCUUCCCAGGCUAAGGUAGUCAAUCAAAAAAAAAAAAA